GACGAACGCUGGCGGCGUGCCUAAUACAUGCAAGUAGAACGCACAGUUUAUACCGUAGCUUGCUACACCAUAAACUGUGAGUUGCGAACGGGUGAGUAACGCGUAGGUAACCUGCCUGGUAGCGGGGGAUAACUAUUGGAAACGAUAGCUAAUACCGCAUAAUAUUAAUUAUUGCAUGAUAAUUGAUUGAAAGAUGCAAUUGCAUCACUACCAGAUGGACCUGCGUUGUAUUAGCUAGUAGGUGAGGUAACGGCUCACCUAGGCGACGAUACAUAGCCGACCGGGGGGGGGGGUCGGCCACACUGGGAGUGAGACACGGCCCAGACUCCUACGGGAGGCAGCAGUAGGGAAUCUUCGGCAAUGGGCGAAAGUCUGACCGAGCAACGCCGCGGGAGUGAAGAAGGUUGUCGGGUCGUAAAGCUCUGUUGUAAGAGAAGAACGGGUGUGAGAGUGGAAAGUUCACACUGUGACGGUAGCUUACCAGAAAGGGACGGCUAACUACGUG
rnacentral:rRNA from 1 species